CAACAAUCUACAUCGAAGACAGAAUUGAAAGUCGUUGGCCAACUGCAGUCAACUGUCAAAAUUCUUGACUCUGUCAGCAAGUGACAUAAACCACUCCAGAGGGUCAGGUUAUCUCUAUGUGUUUUCUGUCUGUCUCUGUCUCUCUGUCUGUCUCUGGGUCUGUCUGUCUCUGGUGCCCUUAAUCUUUCCCUGUUUUUCUAUCCUGUCUCAGAAUCUACAUAAACUCUAUCUGUUAAUCCAGCACACUGAAUUUUCAACAGGAAUUUUGAGAAGACAUGGACGUGUAAUAACUUCCCCUCCUCCUCUUCCUCUUCUUCUUCCUUCUCUAGCUUUGGACUGAAGCUGGAUCCUGGUACAGGCAAGCACCACUUAAGGUUUUUGCACGGAACUUUCUUCAGUCGGGCAUACCAGCAUCUGUCCAUCUCUGUUUGACCUUCCAUCUGCAAAGACUCUUAGAAAAACAUCAGUAAUCUGUUCUUGGACCACUGCAGUCAAGGGCAUAGUUUAUACUUCACAUGUCACUCUGGUCUCUUAGAGAAGACAAUUCAUUUCUUAUUUGUUUGUUUUGGUUUUUGCGACAGCAUCUCUCUACAUAGCCAGGCUAGUCCCAACUGUUGACUUGGGACCCAGAACAACAGAACUGCACACAUGUUUGGGUAAUAGUCUUGCAGAUCAAGCUUGAAAAAGUUUCUAGGCUGCCUGCCCAUUUUCUUUUCCUCUUAAAAAAUAGUUCUGAUUUUUUGUUUUAGUUUUUCUGAAUUAUGCUUGUUUGGGACUGAGCCACUCAAACAUUUACAGGGGUAUUUAAAAUGUCUCGGGGGUUUAGUUAUAAUAAAUUAAAGCUUUUACAAGAACUCAUGUAAAAUGUUUACAUAAACUGUGCAUCCAUUUCUCUUAAGUAAAUUGGGAUUGAUGGGGCAUAUAAUAAACGUUUUAUUAACUUUGCCAUAAA